rnacentral:rRNA from 1 species
AUUGAACGCUGGCGGCAUGCCUUACACAUGCAAGUCGAACGGCAGCACGGGGCAACCUGGUGGCGAGUGGCGAACGGGUGAGUAAUGCAUCGGAACGUGCCAUUGAGUGGGGGAUAACGUAGCGAAAGUUGCGCUAAUACCGCAUAUUCUGUGAGCAGGAAAGCAGGGGACCGCAAGGCCUUGCGCUCUUUGAGCGGCCGAUGUCAGAUUAGCUAGUUGGUGAGGUAAAGGCUUACCAAGGCGACGAUCUGUAGCGGGUCUGAGAGGAUGAUCCGCCACACUGGAACUGAGACACGGUCCAGACUCCUACGGGAGGCAGCAGUGGGGAAUUUUGGACAAUGGGCGCAAGCCUGAUCCAGCCAUGCCGCGUGAGUGAAGAAGGCCU